UCUUCGACUAUCAUUAAGUCGAAGAACAGCCUAUGCAUACCCUCAACUCUAACUACAACCAAUCAAAUUCACACAUCUGCAGGGUGAAGGAUACAGUUCUUUGUUUGAAGCAAAGCAGCAGAUGCAGAGAGCAUCCAGAUUCUUUUUCUCAAGUAAUAUACUUAUACUCCACUUUCAGGCAAUAUAUAUAUAUAUUUGAUUAUUAAAUAUCCCUCUGGAAAAUAAUUUCUGGGUUUUAUAAGUUUCCAAAUAGGUUAAAAAAUAAAGAUUUAUCUUUACACAGGGCAAGCUGAAGGGAAAGAAUCGAAUAGUUUUGUAAUGAAAGUGGAU
rnacentral:lncRNA from 1 species